rnacentral:rRNA from 1 species
UACGUAGGGUGCAAGCGUUAAUCGGAAUUACUGGGCGUAAAGCGUGCGCAGGCGGUUUUGCAAGACAGAUGUUAAAUCCCCGGGCUCAACCUGGGAACUGCCUUUGUGACUGCAUAGCUAGAGUACGGUAGAGGGGGAUGGAAUUCCGCGUGUAGCAGUGAAAUGCGUAGAUAUGCGGAGGAACACCGAUGGCGAAGGCAAUCCCCUGGACCUGUACUGACGCUCAUGCACGAAAGCGUGGGGAGCAAACAGG